rnacentral:piRNA from 1 species
AAGCCUCUCUCCAAAAGCCUGA